UACGUAGGGUGCGAGCGUUAAUCGGAAUUACUGGGCGUAAAGCGUGCGCAGGCGGUUUGUUAAGUCAGAUGUGAAAGCCCCGGGCUUAACCUGGGAACGGCAUUUGAAACUGGCAGGCUGGAGUGCGGCAGAGGGGGGUGGAAUUCCACGUGUAGCAGUGAAAUGCGUAGAGAUGUGGAGGAACACCGAUGGCGAAGGCAGCCCCCUGGGCUAACACUGACGCUCAGGCACGAAAGCGUGGGGAGCAAACAGG
rnacentral:rRNA from 1 species